CUCGGAGCAACUUACUGGCUUCUGGUGGAGGUUGCAAUGAUCAUUGCGUUAAGUUUUGGAACACUGUUAAUGGUGCUUGCUUGAACUCGAUUGAUGCUGGCUCUGAAGUUUGUGCAUUGCUAUGGGACAAAAACAAAUCUGAUUUACUGACCUUCCAUGGUUUGUCGAACAAUCAACUCACCUUGUGGAAUUACCCAUCCAUGACGAGAGUGGCUGAGGUUUCCAGUCAUUCAUCCCGGGUUCUUUCCUUGGCUGGGAGCCCAUUGGGAGGUAUAGUAGCUUCUGCAGCAGUAGAUGAGACAGUCAGGUUUUGGAAUAUCUUUGAGACUCCCAAAAUAAUAAAACCUGAACUGCCCUUUGCCCAAUUUAAUGUCAUAAGAUGAAAAGGCAGAUAGGUGGAAAUGAUUAAGAUUCCAAAUGGAAGACUUCUCUAGUGCUUGACAUGAAGAUCUGUUGUUGGUAGCAUUGCAAUGGGAAGUUUCGUGGUGUCAAAGAGGCAGCACAUUUUCAUACAAGCGUAUAGAUUUGAGAUCUUCAAAUACGAGCGCCACUGCCUAAGGUAAGUUAGAAGCCUUACAGCCUUUUACAGCAUUUUAGUAGGCUUAUUUACAACAUGACUGUCAUUGCAGCUACGAGGCUGAUUUUUGUUUCCUAUUUAUUGUUUAUCAUUUCAUAAUUAUUGAUAUGAUUAUUGCCCAAUUGAUGAAACAUGUGGUCUAUAAUUAUUGCCCAAUUGUUAUAAUCUAAUUAUGUGGUUUAAAGAGAUUUCAAUUUACGUUUCUUUUUUGUAAGUUACUAUCUUUGUCUCAUUUUUGUUUGAGAAUUUUUGCGUAGACUAUAUAUUUUGUUGUGUAUGCUAAUCAUGCAUAAUUAGAUCAAACUGAUAGAUGCUUAUUUUUUUUUCUUUUUUGAGUUGAGAUUUCUUAUGAUAUUCAAUAUGGCCUUAGUAUGACAUGAAGACAUCACAUUGCACACCUAGAAGAGUGUUUGACAAUCGAGAGAUCUAUGCAUUAUAAGAGGUAAUUGCCUAUGGUCUUAUGUUUCUAUUUUUCUUUCCGACUAUAGGUUUCCUAUGAUACAAGUUAAACUUAAGAAUUUUAUAUUCUUUUAGGACUAUAAAGAAACUUUGAAGAUUGAACUAUGUAGCUCUAUUGCCAGAACAAAGCACUUGCAAUAUGGCCUUGAGUAUCACACGAAGAUAUCAGAUUGCCAAAACAAACUUUGAAGAUUGAACCGUAUAACAAACUUCAGAUUUCCUUUUUCAUUUUUAUUUGAGUUGAGAUUUCUUAUAACAUUCAAUAUGGCUUUGUUAUCACAUGAAGAAAUCACAUUGCAUAUCUAGAAGUGUGUUUGACAAUCGUGAGGUCUAUGCAUUAUAAGAGGUAAUUGCUUAUGGCCCUAUGCUUAGUUUUUCUUUUCUAACUAUAGGUUUCCUAUGAUAUAAGUUGAACUUCUGAAUUUUAUAUUCUUUUAGGACCAUUAAGAAACUUUGAAGAUUGAAUUGUGUUGCUUUAUUGUCAGACCAAAGUACUUUCACAUGAUGAAUUUAAAAUCUUGCUAUGGUGUUUUUGCUAAAUCUUUAUUCACAGAUAUAAGGAUAUUAAAGCAUCUUUAGAUUUGCUUAGAGGGUGAAAAUAUGGAAACUUAUGGUAUUGCACAACUAUAAUCAUAUUCAACAACUAAGAGAUCUAUGCAUAAUUUUGAUCUAAGAUGUAACUUCUUAUGUCUUUAUUUUUUGGGUGACUAAAGGUUCUUAAUGUUUCAUUUUAUAAUGAAGAAUAAAUUAUCUUCACUUCUCCCAUGUUCAAUUUUAUCUUCACUUGUUAAGCUUUGUUCUGUACUGAUCAUGUAAUUUAUAGGUGGAUGCAACUUUGUUGUCCUUAAAUCAGAACAUCAAUUAGUUGUAUAUGGAAUGACUUUUUGUGCUGUACUUCACAAUUUGUUACUCUAUGGUUUUAUGUGUACUGUUGCAACACAUAGUUUAUAAAUGUUAAGGACAUUUCAAGAUUGCCAUCGUUAAGGAUUUGCUAUCACUGAGCUGAGUGGGAGGACAUGAAUUUUAGUCGUUAAACCAAAUAUUUAGUUUCUUAAGGCUAACUUAUAUCUGUUCAUUUAUUGUCUUUAUUGUAAUUACUGUCAAUAUCUGCUGCUUUUUUUUUUCCUUUCACUGGCUUGAUUUAAAGCUCAUCUCGUAUGAUCUGAUUGAAAAUCAAUUUUUGACCGAGCACACUGAACUCCUGAGUUCCAACUGAAAUCUUUGGACACCUAACUGUUUUUUUUUUAUCUGAUCAAAUUUGAGGGUGGUUUUUUUAACUGUUUUAGCCUUAAGAUUUUUUUAUGUUCUUUUAGGACUAUUCUAGAACCUGUGAAAACUUUUAUUUGGUAUAGACUUAUUUCACUACGGAGUAAUUCAUUUCACUUGAAAUAGUGUUUUUGUUUUAUGUUUAUUUGCAUAUACAAAGAUACUAAAACAUCUCAGGAUUUUGUUUAGAGGGUGAAAAAAUUUGAAAAAUUAUGGAGUUACAAAACUAGAAUUGUGUCUGGCAAUCAAAAGACUAUUGAUCAACCACUCAGAUAUUGUUCAAAAAAUUGUUCAUGAAAUCCAUAAUUUUCAAUUUAAAAAUUUUCAAAAAUAAAGAUAAGUUCAAAAGUGAAAUCCAAGCCUAAAAUUUUCUAUUUUUAGUAAGAUGUGUCAUAAUUUCUGUAGAAAGCAAUUAUUCAACCUAAGAGAACUGCAAACCAUAGUAUAUACCAUAAUAGUAAAGAGAUACCAAACAAAUAAAUCUAUGAGCUUGAUAAAGGUGAGGCAUUGUAAUUCUGUUUAUUAUGUUUUUCCCUGUGAAAUGAACAAAAUAUCAAAUUUAUAUGUCUUUCUAUGAAUAGAUUAGGUCUUCUGCAACAUAGAUACACUUUUGAUCCUAAGAUAGAGCUUGAAAAAUGAUGUCAAAUGGGAUAUAAUGCAGGUUUUAAAUUUUGGAAGUUAGCUUACCAGACCAACAAUUCACAAAUGCUUCAUUAUAGUGACAGUGGAGUAGUUCGGGUCCUUCCGAUUAAUAGGAUCUUCAUUAAAGGUUCCGAUUUGUAAUUAUUUCAGUCUAUGAGAUCUAUCUUGCUGAAUCAGCUAUAGUUGUAGCAGAGUGGUAGCAAUGUUCAUGAGCUUGAUAGACAAGCUUGCUAUGUUUCAUAUAAAUGUUCACCAAUUAAUGACAUGGCUACUAUUUCAGUAUUUUUUCAAUUUUAUUGUUGUGGUCAUUUACCACAAGUUUCAGCAUCCAAGCACUAUAUCUGAAAUUUGUCUUGUGUAAGUAUAACACCGACCUUUGAGUUGGUAUUUCUUGUUUUCAACUUCCCUAUUUGUUUACUGAGAUUAAGGUAGCAGCAGCGGUUGUGAUUAUUUAUUGCGAUUCCAGUAAUAUCACAUGUGGUACCAAGUUUGAAUUUGACAUGAUAAUUCUGAUUGAAUUAUUUAAGUCAUCAUUUUUUAUAAUAAUCUAUGCAUGAUCUUAUUGGUUGUAAUGGAGAAACAAAUUGAAUAUUGGGUAAGCAUUUGAAGUUUCCAUCACCAAAGUUAUCAUCCCUUCCAGCACCUCUACCUCUAUGCCCCUUGCCACCGUCAUAUAUAUCUUGUAAAUUAUCAUUGACCUUAUGGACAAGGCUAAUACGAUGGAGAUUGAUGAUCCUCAGAAAGCUCCAGAGCUUGAUCGAGAUAAACAAGAAGCUGCCGUGAAGCUCAUGGCCAACGGUGCAUGCACCCUUUGCAACAAGGGGAAGUUGCAUAUACAACCUUCUUUUUCUCUUGAUUAAUGAUUGUUGGUGUUUGAAUUAUAAAACUAGAAAUCAGUUUUAUGUUAUGAAAUUAUGCUUUUUUUUUUUUUAUGCGCAUAUGGUUAGCUCACCCUUAUUAUCCAGAAUAAUAAUUAUUCAUACUGGUCAGAUUUUGUUGUUCCCCCCUAUGUUUCAAAUGGUCUGAAUAUUUCUACCUGACGUGGAGUCAUCCAUAAAAGAUCCUUCUACUAGGUGCUUGUUCGUGUUUGACUUGAAGUCUCAUACUUUCAAUAUAAAUUUGAGAGAAUAUGUACAUGAAUGAACAACCAGUUUACUUUUGUCCCCAAAAGUGGAUGACUUUAUAUAAAAUCUCCAAGCUGAUAUGCUAGACAUUGUUUGUCAUAAGUGAACUAACAAAUCAAAAGAAAGCAGGAAGAACUCGCAAGUUUGAAUGUUACAUCUUUGGACAAUGUAUCAUUCGAACUAGAAGCUCAGUUUAAACACACACAAUGAAUUGGUCACCCCCCCCUCUUUUUCUGUGCUUUCUGAACUUCUUAAUGAAAUAUUUCAAAUUGUUUUGAAGAGUUCAAUUAUUCCAAGAAUUACUUCAAUGCAUUUUAGUGAUAUACUAAGUGAACUGGUUUUGCAAAAAAUUUAGAAGUCAUCUGUUAUUUUUUUGUUGAGCCUGACAUAUGGAUUUUAAGAAGGAAUAUGGACACCAUUUUUAAGUUCCAUCAUAUUUUUUCCUCUUUUUCACCUUUUCCUUCACAAAUUUACGGUAAGGGUCUUUCCAUUAUUGUCAAUAUUACAACAAAUGUCUACUAUUAGUCAUAACUGUCAAUAUUUUCAACUUCAUACAAUGAGAUUUUGCCUAAUGUCACUAUGAUUAUAGAUUAAGUUGUUCACAAAUUGCUUCAUGCUUAAAGAUAUUUCACCUCCAACAAUUUUCUCAUAGACUUCCAUUUGUGAUGCUUCAGUCAUAUGUUGAGGCUUACCUUUCAUUCAUGUUAUGAUCAAGGCACGUUGCUUUUUUUUUUUUCUCAUUCAGGGACAAAGAGAGUUAGAGCAUUGAUAUUUCACUUACUGGAAUUUGAGAAUCAGGUUCAAGUAUCCUUUCUUUGUUGAUUAUUUUGGUUACUCCUUUACUAGAAAGUAUCUAUGGUGGUUUCUCAAAUUUUAUCAUUGAAAAGUCUAGUGCUCUAAUUAAUUCUCUUUCUUGUCUAACUUCUCGCCUGCCCCUUAACAUUGUGUAAUUUUUUUAUCAAAUUAGUUAUAAUUACUAACAAAGAAUUGUGACUUCUAUUAGUCUUUCUGUUAUGUAAGAAAGAAAAAAAGAGAUCUUAUCAAAUUCUGGAUUGCAUUCUAGAUAUUGCUCUCCUAUUACAGAUCAUUCAUCAAUAAUAUUUUUAGACAUGUUUCGAUUCUUUUAGACUUUGUUUUUUCUCCUUUUGUUAUAUCAUUCAUCAAUAAUAACAUUUCAUAAUCUUUCGAACAAAUUAGUUGUCAUUACUCAUUACUAACAAAGAAUUGUGACUUCUAUUAGUCUCUCUGUUAUGUAAGAAAGCAAAAAAAAAACCUAUCAAAUUUUGGAAUUGCAUUUUAGAUACUGCUCUUUAUUACAGAUCAUUCAUUGAUAAUAUUUUUAGACACAUUUUGAUUCCUUUGGACUUUGUUUUUUCUCCUUUAUUUGAGUUUUCCACUUUGCACUAUUCUGGCUAUAUUUUCUGUAGCUGAUAUUUAACUAAUCGUUUCAUCAUUUUAAAACCAACAAUUUAUCAUAUUAAGAAUAUAGGUUUCCUACCUUGUUGGAUUUGCAUGUAAAGGUACUGAACAUAAUACCUUCGAUGUUGAUGAGUCACUUAAAGACUUCGCACAAUUAGCUGUUGGACUUUCAGUUGUUGGCUCCACUUCUCAAAAUUAUAUUUUUUUCCUUAUAUUUGAACAUGAGACAGUAAAUAGUUUCCUCAUUGCUCUAAGUAUGCAUUUCUAGAUGUCUAGAAUCUAGGAGUAUAUUAUUGCUUUGGCUGUCAGGAAUAUAGAAAUUCAGAAAAUAGAUCUUUCUGAGAUAAUUUUUUUUCCGCUGUUAUGUAGUCCAUUAUCUAAUCUUAUAUAGGAAAUAUUUUAUUGAUGUUAGUCAUCUAGUUUUACGUAACAUGCCAUAUUUAUUAAUUUGUGCAUCUCUGUGUAUUUGCCUCGUUCAAGAUUCAGAUUGUUCAUUAUACCAACAACAACAAGAAGUGAAGAUAUCAUGGGUAGCUACUAUCAUUUUCUAAAAUGCUGUAUGAUUGGUUAUAACCAUUAGGUAUCAUACAAUUUCAAUAGUGGUGAUUUAUAUUUAUUUACUCUCAAGUGUUGGUGCUAUCAGUUUCUUUGGUUAUGUUAAUGUUGCUCUAAGCUGGGAACUAGGUCAGAAUUAAAAAAAAAAAAUUGAAGAUAAUCUCAAGAAGUGAGAAAUCAUGAAGACAAAUGUCCAUCUUUAAAUAUUUUUGUGAUUUUAAAUGGAAUAUUAAAUGCAAAGCUACCUUUCUUGUGAUCUUAGAGUUCUCUCUUGGUGAUUGUUAUUUGUCAUAGCUUGAUAAGGAUUAGUGACCAGAUGACACUCACUUAAUAUGGGUUGUUUCCCUUUUAUUUUCAAAAUUUGCUAUCAAGUAGAAGCUAAUACACAAAUUCCAACGAUUUAUGACCUCUCCUCGACUUUGAUUGGUGUUUGUCUUGAUGAAAUUUGGGACUCAAUUGCUGAUGGUUUCAGUUUGGUCAUUUCUUAGAUGAUGGCGAUUGCAAUAUGUGGAUACAUAAUUAUGGGAUAGUAUCACUUGGUAGAAUGUCUUUUCUUUGAUUAUUAGCUCUUAUGUUGUGUAGAUUCAACUUCCAAUAGCAUUUUGUAGUGCUUGUGAGUAAGAUUUUAGUUAUGCUCGCUGAUCCAAAGUUUUUGUUUAGGCUCACUUAUCCAAAUCGAGAGAUUUACAUGGGCUCUUGAAAUGUUGCUGAAGUCAAGUCUACAAUUUUGUGCCCUUGAUGUUGGAACCAAGGUCCAUCUUCUCAAAGAAUUCGGACCGUCAUUUACAAGGACAAUUCUCCAGAGUGUUAGUUACAUAUGUUCUUUUGUUUCUUCUUUGCAUUUUGUUUUGUAAUAUUUUGUGUCAAACAUUGAAAUAAUUGUAGAUGGUGUGUUCCAUAUUACUUAAUAGAAAUUCUAUUGCUUUUUGGCUUUUCACGUGUUCAAAAGUGUUGCUUUCUUAGUUUAGAGGAUUCCACAAUAAGUUUAUGAAGAAACUAAUGUUAAUUAAAUUAUUUUUUCAUGCAUAUUAUGUGAAUGGAUAUGGUUUCUUAUCAAAUCAAUUUACACCUUGAUUUGGUAAUUUUGUACUUGAAUUGUUGGGUCUGUCUUCAAUAUUUGAUGAAAUUGUUAAAACUGAAGUAACCAGGCACAUGCAACCUACUGAUUACUUGAGCUUGUUUGGGGAAUAAUUCAAAUAAACCCAAGAUUAUUGGGAUGCUUCUUAUUUGAAUGUCUUGGAUAUAUCUGCAACGGAAGAAGGCAGUCCUCAUGUCUUAUUUGGAUGUGCUUCACAAGUAUGUUCUAAAUGAUUACCUACCCUAUAAUGUUUCUUAAACUAAUUAUCCUAUUUUUUUCCUAUUGGAAUAACUUUUAGCCACCAGGAGUCUGCUUCUGUAACUAAAUUGUCGAGUGCUUACAUUCUUUUAUAAUGAAUAGAUAGCCUCUCCUGUUCUGCAAAUUGGCUGACAGUAAUUCAAAAUUUUGAUCCCUAUUACCACUUAUACAAGCACUGUUUCCAGGUGAAAGGUCUCUGUUUUAAGUUAAAACUUUAAACACCUUUUACAACUUUAUAUAUUAAUUAAUUUGGAUGGAUUCUAAUUUCCUUUCAUUUGAUGGCACUUCUUCCUCCAAUUAGCCUCCUAAAUCAAGUUGAUGAUAGUUUUUCACAGUGGAAACAUCCUUCUGUCCAGCAUGCUCUCUCUCUGGUUCAGCAAUGAUGCAUUUGGGUGAUAUACGUUAUAUGCAUUUGUAUUUUUAUCAAAAGUCUUAACAAUUCAUAUUAAUUUGUUGUUGCAGAUAAUAACAAUGUCAUCGUCAUCUUCUUCAUGCUUGUGCGGGCUAUCUGUCUUCAUUCUUAUCAUCUCGUGUUUGUUGGUUUCAUACCAAGUUUAAUUAUAAAUAGACAACUUACUUUUUGGCUUUCUAAGUAAGCAUUUAUUUUUCAAUCUUCAGCAGCAUGUGUAUUUGAUUGAUUUAUGCUUUGGACCAUUAUCACCAUGGAUAUAUACAAUUACUGCAAAGGUUUCAUCUUUUCCCAUAAUAAGUCUACAUAUUAAGUCAACAACUUGUAUUUUUGUAACUGCAUCGACCCUUUUUCAGGUUGAUCUUGCAAUUGAACUUCUGGAGGACCUCUUCGUGUUAUUCAAGCAUUGGAAAUAUCACAAGUCGACAUUGAAUCUGAUGUGGCAACAUUGAUUAGGCAGAAUCAACCAUUGCUUUGCCACUUUGCAAUCCUCCUACAGAGUCUCCCCUCUUUCUACUGCAUUCUGCAACUGAGUUAUCCUGUUCUGUAGAGAAUGUAAAUGACAUUAUACUGCAGUCAGCUGCAAAUCUUAGUGGACAACUUACAACUUUGUACACCCAACUGAAAGCAAGCAACAUACAGCUUGAAAUGGAAAAGCUACAUGGGCUGCGAAGGUGUUGGGCACUUCUUGAAAGAUUAAUAAUAACAUCUUCUGGAAAUGAUGAACGGACA